rnacentral:rRNA from 1 species
UCUUCGGAACCAGAGACCGGCGCACGGGUGCGUAACGCGUAUGCAAUCUACCUUUUACAGAGGGAUAGCCCAGAGAAAUUUGGAUUAAUACCUCAUAGCAUUGCAGAAUGGCAUCAUUCAGCAAUUAAAGUCACAACGGUAAAAGAUGAGCAUGCGUCCCAUUAGCUAGUUGGUAAGGUAACGGCUUACCAAGGCUACGAUGGGUAGGGGUCCUGAGAGGGAGAUCCCCCACACUGGUACUGAGACACGGACCAGACUCCUACGGGAGGCAGCAGUGAGGAAUAUUGGACAAUGGGCGCAAGCCUGAUCCAGCCAUGCCGCGUGCAGGAUGACGGUCCUAUGGAUUGUAAACUGCUUUUAUACAGGAAGAAACCCUGGUUCGUGAACCAGCUUGACGGUACUGUAAGAAUAAGGAUCGGCUAACUCCGUGCCAGCAGCCGCGGUAAUACGGAGGAUCCAAGCGUUAUCCGGAAUCAUUGGGUUUAAAGGGUCCGUAGGCGGUUUAAUAAGUCAGUGGUGAAAGCCCAUCGCUCAACGGUGGAACGGCCAUUGAUACUGUUAAACUUGAAUUAUUAGGAAGUAACUAGAAUAUGUAGUGUAGCGGUGAAAUGCUUAGAGAUUACAUGGAAUACCAAUUGCGAAGGCAGGUUACUACUAAUAUAUUGACGCUGAUGGACGAAAGCGUGGGUAGCGAACAGGAUUAGAUACCCUGGUAGUCCACGCCGUAAACGAUGGAUACUAGCUGUUGGGAGCAAUCUCAGUGGCUAAGCGAAAGUGAUAAGUAUCCCACCUGGGGAGUACGUUCGCAAGAAUGAAACUCAAAGGAAUUGACG